UUUCAGUGCUAUUUCUGUAUGUGACACCCAAGGGAUUUUUUCCCUCUGCGUGUAUUUCUGUGCAGGCAUGUGCAUGAAACGUAGGUGUUUCUCUGUGCCGUAACGGGCACUGAUGACAGCUGGGUGGGUGGCAAGGUGUGCAAUCACGGCAGAAACUUCCUGCAGCUGCCCUGCCAUGUGCUUCAGGAUAAAACAGCUCUUCUGGUUGUUUGCUGCCAUUGAGAGCUACUGAGGGCAUGGGAAGUACAAGGAUGCAUGUAUGAAGGCAAAUCAAGGGUACAAGUGGUGCCUCACAGCAAACCAAGCUGCGAAAACGCAGACAUCUGCUGUUACAAACAGGAAAAAGCUAUGGGCCUUUGCCUCGGACUCUGCAAAAGAUUUACCAAGCCUGAGGAAAGUGACAAGAGGUGACGAAAUGCCACAGCGUAACUUCGGGAUGGCAGGUGUUAACGUUCUUGUGGAUGAAUGUACCAGUGGAGCUAACUUCUUGUAUUUAACUCAAGAGAAGCAUAAUGAUAGCUUGGAGGGG